CCCUGCCCCCCUCCACCUAUCCCAACUCCACUCAUCCGCAGCCCAAACACUGAUCUGUUUUAGUUUGCAUUUUCUAGAGUCGUCCAUAAAUGGAAUCAUCCCAUAUGUACUUGAUUUUGUCUGGCUUCUUUCACUCAACAUAGUUACUUUGACAUGCCUGCGUGUUUUUGCAUGGAACAAUCAUUCAUUGCUUCCUGAGCAGUAUUCCAUUUAUGGAUAUACCACCGUGUGUUUAGUCAGCACUUGAUUUAGCCUGCUUUCAAUUUUUCCUGAUUAGAACUACAGCUGCUAGGAACAUCCCUGUGCAAAUCUUUGUACAGACAUAUACGGUUUUUCCUCUCUGGGGUAAAUACCUGGAAGUGGAAUGCCCAGGUCGUAAGGUCAUGAUGGCUGGAGCACUGG
rnacentral:lncRNA from 10 species